rnacentral:tRNA from 1 species
GGAUAUAGCUAAGUGGUAGUGCACAUGCUUAGUUAGCAUGCACGAGGUCCUGGGUUUGAUUCCCAGUACAUCCA